rnacentral:rRNA from 1 species
UACGUAGGGAGCGAGCGUUGUCCGGAUUCAUUGGGCGUAAAGAGCUCGUAGGCGGCUUGGCAAGUCGGGUGUGAAAACUCCAGGCUCAACCUGGAGACGCCACCCGAUACUGCCAUGGCUAGAGUCCGGUAGGGGACCACGGAAUUCCUGGUGUAGCGGUGAAAUGCGCAGAUAUCAGGAGGAACACCGGUGGCGAAGGCAGAUCUCUGGGCCGUAACUGACGCUGAGGAGCGAAAGCAUGGGGAGCGAACAGG